rnacentral:rRNA from 1 species
CCUACGGGAGGCAGCAGUGGGGAAUAUUGCACACUGGGGGAAACCCUGAUGCAGCGACGCCACGUGGGUGACGAAGUAUUUCGGUAUGUAAAGCCCUAUCAGCAGGGAAGAAGAUGACAGUACCUGACCAAGAAGCCCCGGCUAACUACGUUCCAGCAGCCGCGGUAAUACGUAGGGGGCAAGCGUUAUCCGGAUUUACUUGCUGUAAAGGGAGCGUAGGUGGCAUGGCAAGCCAGAAGUGAAAACCCGGGGCUUAACCCCGCGGAUUGCUUGUGGGACUGUCAGGCGGGAGUGCAGGAGGGGCAGGCGGAAUUCCUGGUGUAGCGGUGAAAUGCGUAGAUAUCAGGAGGAACACCGGUGGCGAAGGCGGCCUGCUGGACUGUAACUGACACUGAGGCUCGAAAGCGUGGGGAGUAAACAGGAUUAGAUACCCUAGUAGUC